UAUAAAACUUAAGAUCGUAGGUAUUUCACUUUGUUUGCAUACCCAUUCAACUAUGGGUUGCCUGUAUUUAUAAUCUCAACAAGAUAACAACUGAGGGUUUGAAAACCCUAUUUACAAGGAGUUUCAAAACGUCAAGGAAUCCAUAACAGAAAACUACGGAUUACAAGAUUACAGAUAUACAUCCUAGAAACAAGGAAACCUAAUCAGUGAGGAGUUCAAAACAGAAACAAACUUCUGGAAGGACGCUGGACUCCACAAUGCACGGUGGAAUUAUCCUGAGGUUGACUUCGUCUAACAGCCCCCCGCAAGCUAACUGGUUGGGAAACAACCGGAAGCUUGGAAACUAGAAAUUUAAACCUGGACGAAGAUAACCCUUUAGUGAAAAUGUCAGCCAGUUGGUUCUGAGAACAAACAUAAUGAACCAAAAGCUGCCCACGAACAACUUUCUCACGAACAUAAUGAAAAUCAACUUCCAAAUGCUUGGUUCUGGAAUGAAAAACAGGAUUGGAAGCAAGUGCAAUCGAGGAGACAUUGUCACACCAUAUAACUGGUCGAACCAAAGGCAAAUGGAGAUCUCGGUAUAACGACCGGAACCACGAUAUCUCAGCAGCAGUAUAAGCCAAUUGACAGUACUCCGCCUCGGCACUCGAUCUUGAGACAGUAUUCUGCUUCUUCGAGCUCCAGGAAACAAGAUUUGAACCCAAAUAGAUACAAAAUCCUCCAGUAGAAUGACGAGUAUCAGGGUUACCCGCAUAGUCUGCAUCAGAGUAAGCUGUUAACGUGGCAUCUCCAGGUCGAUACAAUAAGCCAUGAUUAAACGUGGCUUUUAAGGAACGAAGUAUGCGUUUAACCACUGCCCAAUGUGUGUUCUUUGGGGAGUGCAUGAACUGGCACACCUGUUUUACAGCAUACGACAGAUCAGGCUGAGUUAGUGUGAGAUACUGUAAAGCACCAACGACACUACGAUACAUGUCUGGAUGCUCAUGGGGAUCACCAACAUAGGCAUUUAAUUUCUGACCAGUCACCACCGGAGUAGAAAUAGGUUUGGCGUCAAUGAAUUUAGAGCGAGUGAGUAAGUCUAAGGCAUACUUAGACUGACUGAGAUGCAUGGAAUCACCAUUAUAUUGGACCUCAAUACCCAGGAAAUAAUGCAAGGGCCCCAAGUCCUUCAUGGAAAACAAACUGCCAAGUUUCUUGAUCAAAUGAGCCAUUUGAGUAGAACUAUUUCCUGUAAUUAAAAUGUCAUCGACAUAGACUAACAGAAUAAGAUAUACACCCCGUUGAUUGAAGACAAACAAACUAUAGUCACAUGUGGAUUCUUCAAAACCUAGUUGAAGUAAGAAGUCCGAAAACUGUUGAAACCAAGCCCGAGACGCUUGUUUUAAACCAUAAAGUGAACGUUGCAACUUACAGACAUGGUUUGGAAACUGUUGAUCAAUGAAUCCCGAUGCUUGGCGCAUGAACACAUCUUUAGUUAAAUGGCCAUGCAAAAACGCAUUUUGCACGUCGAGUUGGCUCACAUGCCAUUGCUUGGACACGGCAAGACUCAACACAAGCCGAAUUAUGGUGUGCUUAACAACUGGACUGAACGUCUCAUUAUAAUCCACUCCAGCUUUCUGGUGAAAUCCGUUGGCUACUAAACGAGCUUUGUAACGCUCUAUAGUACCAUCGGCUCUGCGUUUAAUCUUGAACACCCACUUAUUGGGAAGCACAUUCAUGGUAUGAUGAUAUGGAACUAAAGUCCACGUCCCACACCGUUGUAAAGCAUUGAACUCCUGGACCAUUGCAUGUCGCCAUUCCUCAUGCUUAACUGCCUGACUGUAACAAGUAGGUUCAACAGAAACAUAAUCAACUGCAACAUGCAUAGCAUACUUAGUGUUAGGUUUGAUAACCCCUGACUUGAAACGUGUAGUCAUGGAAUGACCCGUAUCACGAGGCUCAUCAAAAUGCACAGGUCGAGAAUCCACUAAUACUUGCUCAUUGGAUGGAAGAGAUGGUUCUAAAGGCCGACUAGGUGCAACAGUGGACAAGGUCGUAUUUGGCACGGUGGUGGGAUGCUCGGGACUUAUGGUAGUAUUAGGGAAGUCGAAACAUGGGGUGGAGGUCGUGACGUGUGGGAAAGAACAAGAAACAAUGGGGCUAGAAGGAGGCAAAGCAGAUAGCGUAGGGUUACUAGAGAAGGGAAAAGUAAAGAAUAACGGGGGUAAAGAAUGGUUACCUGGAGGAUCAACACGUUCAGAAGAAGAUGUGAGUCCCUUAAAAGGGAAGAAGUCCUCAUCGAAUAGGACAUGGCGAGACAAAUAAACUCGUCUCGUGGACAGAUCCAAGCAUUUGUAUCCUUGAUGAUUGAGUGAGUACCCGAGAAAAACACAUGGUUUGGAUUUUGGUUGCAAUUUAUGUUGAUUGUAUGGUGUUAACCAAGGGAAACAACGACACCCAAAAACUUUCAACAUGUCAUAAGAUGGUUUCUUCUGAAAAUUUUUCUCAAAUGGUGAAGUGUUUGAAAGCACACGCGUUGGCAAGCGAUUGAUUAGGUAUGUAGCAGUUAAACAAGCAUCAACCCAAAAUUUAUUGGACAUGGAAGAUUUGGAAAGCAUGACAAUGGCAGUUUCAACAAUGUGGCGAUGUUUGCGUUCUGCUAAACCAUUUUGUUCAGGAUGUUUAGGGCAUGAAAAGCGUUGUGAAAUACCAUGAACAUCAAGAAAUUGUUGGAAAACAUGACUUUUGUAUUCACCACCUUCAUUGCAUUGAAGAGUUUUUAUUUUGCAGUUAAACAUAUUUUCAACUUUGGCUUUAAACUUGACAAAAAUUUCAAACACUUCAGAUUUUUGUUUCAUGGGAAAAAUCCAAGAAUAUCGCGAAAAAUCAUCAACAAACAAAACAUAAUAACGAAAACCUUCAUUAGAAAUAACUGGAGAACACCACACAUCAGAAUGUAAAAGUUGCAAAGGAAAUUCAGACAUAGACUCGGAAAUAUUGAAAGGUAACCUAGUGCUUUUACCUAGAGGGCAUGACUCACAAAAGGUUACAUCACAGGCACCAUCAAUAGGUACCAUUUUAUUUGAAACUAAAAAUUUAAUUAUUGGUGUGGCAGGGUGACCAAGACGAGCAUGCCACUGUUGUGCUGAGACCCUUACUCCCACACAAGCAGAUACAGAAUGCUUGAAAUGUCCACUGCCAUCUGAAAAUGGGUACAACCCAUUCUCACAUCUCCCUCGGAAAAGCGUCUUUCGUGUCUUUAGGUUCUUGACAAGGAAAAAAUGUGGAAAAUGAUUAGGUAAUAGUCAUUAUCUAGGGUAAACCUAUGGGCAGAGAGUAUAUUAGUGGAUGCAUUUGGACAGUGAAGGACAUCUCGUAGAAUAAAAGAGCAAGCAUUAGUUUCAAGUGUAUUUGAACCAUAGUGUGCAAUCGAGAUACCUGCAUUAUUACCUACACCUCCCACGCCUUCAUUACCAUUGUAUUCUUUGGGAUUGAUCAAGUUCUGAAGAUCAGGAGUGAUGUGUGCAUUGGCACCGGUGUCAAGGAGCCAAGAGCCAUUCUGUUGUUUGUUCAGGGUGAUAGGUGAGGACGUCAUCGCUGAAAGACGUGCAGCUGGUAUGUGGCAUUCGAAUGCAGUGUUCAUGUGGUGGUAACAGUCAAGAGCAGGAUGUCCUGGUUUACCACAGAUUUGACAAACGAUUCUGUCUCCACAAGAAACAAACCUGUCUCCAUUACCGUGGUUGUUCUGCGGAGCAUUAUUGUUGCGAGAGUUAUUCCCUCUCGGAGCUGCAUCACGGUUGGAGGAGUUGCCGCGUCCUCCACUACGAGAACGUCCACCACCACGUCCACGUGAAGUUACAAAGGCAUUGACAACAGUGCCUUCAACCGAAUGAACGGUGUGUUCUGCCAGUCUCCUCUCCGUAGUCAGCAGCAAGGAUUCAAGAGUUGGAUAAGUGAUAGGAGUGUCACGAGCUUGUGCAGCACUCACAGUCAUCUCGAACACUGGCCCAAGAUUAUUCAACACAAUCUGAACCAGUUCGUCGUCACUCACAAGUUGUCAGCUAGUGCAUUCAUUCGAUCCAGGUAAUCCGCCACAGAUAGAUCACCUUUUUUUGUCUGCAACAACGCAUUUCUCAGAAACAAAAUUCGAUUUUAAGACGUGGAUGCAUACCUUUGCUCAAGAGCUUCCCAGGUAGCUCGAGCCGUUCGUUUGCUUGCCACCACAGACAAGACAGAAGCAGUGAGAGAGCCAUUAAUCCAACUAAGAAUCAUUUGAUCAUGCUACACCCAAGUUGUGUACGCAGGAUUGACAGUAGCUGAACCAUCAACAUGUUUUGCAGGACAUAGCACCGUGUCGUCAAUGUAGCCCAUCAGAUCCCUACUUUUCAGAAUAGGGAGAAUUUAUGCCAACCACAAUGGGUAGUUGGUCCUAUCUAAUUUGAUAUUGACGACAGUGGAGAAUGGCUGGAAGGUAGGAGUUUGGGGGUUGGGAUGGACCACAGGAACAACUGGAACAUUGUUUUCAGCCAUGGAAGCGGUGUUGGGAAAUAUGACAGGACUAGGAUCUUUGUCGUUACACAAAAAAGGCUCUAGAGACCAUAUAAAACUUAAGAUCGUAGGUAUUUCACUUUGUUUGCAUACCCAUUCAACUAUGGGUUGCCUGUAUUUAUAAUCUCAAUAAGAUAACAAUUGAGGGUUUGAAAACCCUAUUUACAAGGAGUUUCAAAACGUCAAGGAAUCCAUAACAGAAAACUACGGAUUACAAGAUUAUAGAUAUACAUCCUAGAAACAAGGAAACCUAAUCAGUGAGGAGUUCAAAACAGAAACAAACUUCUGGAAGGACGCUGGACUCCUCAAUGCACGGUGGAAUUAUACUGAGGUUGACUUCGUCUAACACUGUCAACCAAUGCAACCCUGUCGUUGCUAGUUUGAAAACCUAAUUCUUGCUGUUCUUUUUGGUCCGACGAUUGCACUGGAGUUCCAAUGCAGUUUGAUGAUUGCUGCACUAGUUUGCAUAUGCACAGAAGAGAAGGAAGAAGAUUCAGGAAAAAGAAAAAAAGAGGUGAUGUUUGAAGAAAAAAAAAGGGAGAAAAAGAAUAGAGAAAAGAAAAUGAAAAGAAAAAACAGAGAAAAAGUGAGACAGGCCCCCACGGGCAAGGAGAAAAAUUGUUAGUUUUUGAGUUUCUGAGAGGCCCACAUGGGCAAUGUGGCAUGUUGUCACUAUCUAAGUGUUAGUGUUUGUGUUUGUUCGUUUGUUGGUACAAUUGAGAUAUGAAAAUCUCAUCCUUCUAGUGACAAGGAGCACUCAUGUGCUUUAUUUUCAUACUUUCACAUUAGCAUGUAAGAAUCAGAAUCACUUUGCAAGUUUAAGUCGAGCUCGCAAGUUCGCCAAUCAAUUCAAGUCAAGUUCACCAAUCAAGUCAAGUUUGCCAAUCAAGUUAAGUCAAGUUUGUAUGCCUG
rnacentral:lncRNA from 1 species